rnacentral:lncRNA from 1 species
GUUUGAGAAAGAUUUGAAUGAGUGUUUGAUAGAGCAAAGUGGAUAAAUUGGAUGAUGGCGAGAGCUAGGAUUGGCGAGAUAUACAUCUCGAAUCCUAGUCUCAGGAGUGCGUGGUAUACACCACGUUCCACUUCCAUCUUUAUUGAAAAAGUCUUGACUUAUGAAUUAAUAUUUUUUGAGUUUUUAUUAGAGAAAAUGGCUUGACGUUGAAUCAAGCAUUUGAUGAAAGUUUGAAAGAAAAGGAAUAGAAUAGGAGGGCGAAAUGAAUUGAUUUGUUUAUUGAGAAAAUACUCGACGUUGGAUCGAGUCAUAUUUUUGUAUUUUUUAGAAAUGGUGGAUUUUACUCUUUGGUUAGUGUCUAAAACAAAUAGAGAAAUAAAACAAUACAACAUUAUAUACACAUUGGGGAAGUGGGGUACAUUUUGUCAAAUGGGGAUUAAAAACCAUGAAAUAAUUAAAUCAGGCCCAAACAACAAAUGAUGCGAAAUAUGAGUGUAAGUGCAAGAGAACCGGCUCAUUGUAAGAAAGCCCAAGAGUAAGCUAUGUGAGGUUGAUGGCGAUGCUUAAAAGCAAUCGACUUACAAGGGUAUGGAAAUGGGCUCGAUAUUAAAUCGAGAAAAAUAUGAUUUUUAUAGCUUUCAAAUGGUUUCGAAUGUAUGAUGAAAUUAAAAGAAAGUAGAUCAACCAUGAGUAUAAUAAAAAUAUAAACAUAAAAUAAAAUGCUAAAAGAAAAAUAAAAUACUAAAAUAAAAAAAAUGCUAAAAGAAUAAAAAAAACUAAAAGAAAAAAAAUGCUCAAUACAAGUAUCGAACCCACUACACUAAAGACCAUGAAAUCACCCCUCUCCACCAGACCACUCAUGACUAGUUGUUAUUUUGAUGCUAGACUGGAUAAAUAAACUAAAAUGGAUUAAAAAUUAGAAUUAAAAUAAAAAAACUAAUAAAAGAAAAAAACUGUUGGACUACCAGUAACUGAACCCAGCCGCUUGGUUGUUGGGUUAUCAAUGGGGAAUAAGUUGGAAAUAGAAAAAACAAUUAUUACCUAAUAUCCUAGGAAUUUUAAACUUUCAAAACUUAAUCUGUUAAAAAAAUAAAUUAAAGAAAAAAAAUAAAAAGAUGGGAUAGUAACAGAGGCCUCAUGAAAUCGCCCUCUCUUUCGCGUCCUCUCUUCUCUCGAUCACUACCAGCAAGCUCUCUCCCAACCUUCAAUGAAAUCGCUCCCUCACCGCUCUCUCAAUCUCCAAUCUCACUCAAUCGCUCACCUAAUCUCGCGUUCAACCCUCUCUCUCGCGUCCUCAACCUUAUUCCCAAAUGCAUAAAACCCACAGCUUAAAGGAACCUGAAGUUUACCUCCGGUAGCGAUUUGGUAGUGACGAUGAACGAUGAAGCCAAAACUUUACUCUUUCGCCUCUCCGAUCCAGGUAUGUUUCGAUUUGGGAUUUAGGGUUUUUGUAUUUGAAAAUCUCUUCGCCGUUUUUCCUUUUUUGUUUACUGAUUUCUCUUUCUCCUUUUAUGCUCACAGAUUAGGGUUUCAAUUUUGUCUUUGGGUUCAAAUGAGUAACUCUGCGAAGUCCUUUCGGCGCUCAGAAAUUGGAUUGGAUCGUUUAAUGCUAAAAUCGAAAAUGGUAUUCUGAACUCACCCUUUCUUCUUCAUUUCUGUCUCUAUGCCAAAUUGGGAUAUUUUCUUGAAUUACUGCCUUUGCUAAUUACCUUAUUC